ensembl:miRNA
UGGCCUGGUCAGAGGCAGUGGGAGAUGAGAGUUAGCCAGGAGCUUUGCACUCACCCCUGCUACUCACUGGCCCCCAG